rnacentral:rRNA from 1 species
GAUGAACGCUAGCGGCAGGCCUAACACAUGCAAGUCGAGGGGUAGAACACUUCGGUGUUUGAGACCGGCGCACGGGUGCGUAACGCGUAUGCAAUCUGCCUUACACUAAGGGAUAGCCCAGAGAAAUUUGGAUUAAUACCUUAUAGUAUAUUGAUGUGGCAUCACAUUAUUAUUAAAGAUUUAUUGGUGUAAGAUGAGCAUGCGUCCCAUUAGCUAGUUGGUAUGGUAACGGCAUACCAAGGCGAUGAUGGGUAGGGGUCCUGAGAGGGAGAUCCCCCACACUGGUACUGAGACACGGACCAGACUCCUACGGGAGGCAGCAGUGAGGAAAAUUGGUCAAUGGUCGCAAGACUGAACCAGCCAUGCCGCGUGCAGGAUGAAGCAUCUAUGGUGUGUAAACUGCUUUUGUACGGGAAGAAACACCUCCUCGUGAAGAGGCUUGACGGUACCGUAAGAAUAAGGAUCGGCUAACUCCGUGCCAGCCGCCGCCGUAA